rnacentral:lncRNA from 1 species
AACCCCGUUGGCAAAUUAAAAUUUUGAAAACAUUUUUCGAGAAUGACGUCAUGAUGCCGCACUGUAUUUACAGUCCGUUAAGGAUUCCGUCAUUUGGUGAUUUUAUCAUACUACAUCAUACCAUAGUGGGUUGACGAUCCUAAGAUCACAUCCAACACUAAGUAAUACUGCAUUGAUGACUCCAUCAUUCUUUUUUAUCAUCUCUGCACCAGGUUGCAUGGUACAUAAGUGAUAAAUAAAAACGACUUUUGAUACUUCAAAUCAUUCGCGUCUAGCCGAAAUAAGUAGCAUAGACUGUACUUUAAAUCGUUUCAAAAAUCUUUGCAAAUCAGUUUUAUCAUCUCAACAGGUAAUGAGGUGUCGAUGGCCCGAAGUCCACGCAUACACAAUAAUCACCAGGAGUUGAGAAUAAAAAUUCAUUUUUCAAAAGCACAUAGUGCGUAUUUAGCUUGAUGUCAAAAAUUCGAAGUCUAGCAUAGCUAGAAGAUUUGGAAUACCUAUGCUUCCAUCAUCAACUUCACUUUUUCUACUGAUCCAUUACUUAAUAGAUCUAUCUAUUCUUAUAAUCCUCAAUACUUCUUUCACACAUAACUAUACCCAGUUCGUCAAACUUACCACACUUAUGAGUUCAGGAACUUACCACAAUCAUAUGAGUUUAAGAACUUUCCUAGACAGACCUUUGGCGUCCAUUCGCUGAGGGGUCCAUAAACAUUUCAUAUAAUCAUGAGUCACGAACGUACCAUAAGUAUGAGUUUUAAGAACUCGUACUUAACCUUAUAUCCUCUAUCUAUGACCUAUCUACCUGUUAUACACAUGAGAAAGGAAUCACCCUCUGAACAUGUAUAUAGCAAAUAGUGCGACAUAAAAAUUUCAAUGAUUAUCAGUGCCAGAAACUAAGUGGUUUUUACACCAAGUAUAAUUCAGCUCCCAUACAAAGAAUCAUACAACUCAGCUGCCGACAUGAGUCCUCAAUUGAAUCCCCACCUAACACUAACCCCUUCUCCAUACGAAUUUAAUUCGUAUUUAUAAUUCUCUUCUGGAUCUGUACCAAUUUAUAGUACAAUUCAUACACAGCAAUCUUGCUGUAAACUUUUCAUCAUUCUCUGGAUCUUUCUUCAUACCAUAACCUUAUCAGAUCACGGAGUGAUCUCAUCGUAUAUAUUACGAUUCAUUGCUAUUUUGUGAUCGUUUUAUUUUAUGAUCUCCCAUCCUUACACUUGUAAUCUCUUAGACUCUAUUUAUCCACUUCCUAUACUUGGUACACAUCGAGUCUC